rnacentral:tRNA from 1 species
GACUGGAUAGCCUAGUGGUAAAGGCAUCACAUUGACCAUGCUGAGGUCCCAGGUUCAAAUCCUGGUCUAGUCA